GAAAUAUCAAAAAUGGUUCUGUGAUCCGGAAUGAUCAACAAUUGUCUGAAAAUGAUGUGUGCAAUAUUUAAGCUUUCUAACACAGCAGUAAUUCAUAUCAGAAAUUCAUUUUCGGUACCAAGUGGUGACCUCAUCGAAAUAUACGUAUAUAUACAAAAAAGGAUGAUAAUGGGAUUUAAGUGACACAAUCAUAACCAGUAAGGCGAAUGCUGCAAGAGCUUUCAAGUUUUAGAGGUACAGGAUCCCCUAGGGGCAUUUUAGUAUAUGCGAAUGCCAUUUUAUACGGAAUGUA